UAAUCAGGGCAAAAAAAUGUAGCUGCCCAUACAAAAGCGAGAUGCCUUUCACCUGUAUGAAAAAUAUGGUCACUGGUGCAAGCAGCAUCCUGAAUUGUGAGAGGGAUGUCUGACUGCUGGUUUAGG